GUAAGAGGCAGACGCCAGGUCAAGAGAGAAGGAUUUGGCUGGAAGCCCAAACACAGAUGCCAUCUGCGUACAUAAAGUCCUCCUUCCCCGGCACUAUCAUGUUGAUAAAAUUUCCUUGGAUGCUGGUAGGGAUGGCCCCAGCUGUACCAGAAUGUCUGUGACCUUCAAGGACGAAACUGUGGACUUCACCCAGGAAGAGUGGGCCUUGUCUGACAAAGGAAGCUGUAUGGAGAUGUGAUGUUGGAGGACACCGCUCACCUGGUCUCUGUGGCUGAAUUCCUCUGGUCUUUGUUUCCUGCUGUUCGAUGGGUCUUAGGAAAUUUCUUCCAGAAGUUGAGGAGUGGAAGAUUUUUACUCCAGGAAGAUUUCUGUUCCUGACUGGUGGCACGUUGCACUGAAUCCUUGAUCCCUGCAGCCUUUCAGCCCAGGGCAGCCAUCAGCACCCAGGCGCCCUGGACCUUGCAUCCGUCAGACAGCCCCAGGUGGACCUGGACAGAGCAUGGCCGCAGGUGAGUUAGAGCAGGGCGGCAGCACUCCAGCCAGGGCUCACAUGGAUGGAUCAGGCAGGGGUGCACGAGAAACCCCAGACCUGAGCCUACACCUCAGAAGGGCAGACUGGGCAGGGGAGAGGGCCUGCUCAGCAGAGUGCACGCUGAGGGCGUGUGAGGCGGGGGGCAGCGGGAUGAGCCACCUGCACAGCUCACCUUCCCCCUAACCCUCUAACCAGAGCCUGUCCCAAGGAUAUGCUUUUUAUUAAAUUUUUUUUUUUUCGCUGAGGAAGAUUUGCCUUGAGCUAACAUCCGUUGCCAGUCUUCCUUUAUUUUGUAUGUGGGUUCGCCCUCACAGCAUGGCUACUGGUAAAUGGAGAGGUGUAGCUCUGUGCCAGGGACCCAACUGCUGUCAAUUUCAGAGCUCGUGGAACUUAACCACCCAGGCCACCAGGGCUGGCCCUUUCUUUUUUUAAAGAUUCCCCAUGAACUAACAUCUGUUGCCAAGCUUCCUCUUUUAUCUUUCUCCCCAAAGCUCCAGUGCAUGGUAGUAUACCUUAGUUGCCAGUCUUCUAGUUCUUGCACGUUGGCCUCUGCCACAGCAUGGCAACUGACAGACAGGUGGUGUGGUUCUGCGACCGGCAAUGAACGCUGACCACCAAAGCGGAGAGCGUGGAACCUCAACCACUAGGCCAUCAGGACCGCCCAGGGCGGGCUUUUACCCCCUGCCUGCGCCCACCUGGCGGCCAGUCCCAGCCUAGGCUCCGC
rnacentral:lncRNA from 1 species